rnacentral:rRNA from 1 species
UUAAUUUUCAUGCUUGAGGCCGUGCUUCCGGGACGCCGAGUGCCAGCAUCAUAUGCUGGCUGUCCAGGUGUGUAAAAUACACCUGUCACCAAGGGCCGGGCAAGACCGGUGCCAGCCGCCGCGGUAACACCGGCGGCCCGAGUGGUGAUCGUGAUUAUUGGGUCUAAAAGGUCCGUAGCCGGUUUGGUCAGUCCUCCGGGAAAUCUGACGGCUCAACCGUUAGGCUUUCGGGGGAUACUGCCAGGCUUGGAACCGGGAGAGGUAAGAGGUACUACAGGGGUAGGAGUGAAAUCUUGUAAUCCCUGUGAGACCACCUGUGGCGAAGGCGUCUUACCAGAACGGGUUCGACGGUGAGGGACGAAAGCUGGGGGCACGAACCGGAUUAGAUACCCGGGUAGUCCCAGCCGUAAACGAUGCUCGCUAGGUGUCAGGCAUGGCGCGACCGUGUCUGGUGCCGCAGGGAAGCCGUGAAGCGAGCCACCUGGGAAGUACGGCCGCAAGGCUGAAACUUAAAGGAAUUGGCGGGGGAGCAC